rnacentral:rRNA from 1 species
UACGAAGGGGGCUAGCGUUGUUCGGAUUUACUGGGCGUAAAGCGCACGUAGGCGGAUUGGUCAGUUAGGGGUGAAAUCCUGGAGCUCAACUCCAGAACUGCCUUUAAUACUGCCAGUCUCGAGUCCGGAAGAGGUAAGUGGAACUCCUAGUGUAGAGGUGGAAUUCGUAGAUAUUAGGAAGAACACCAGUGGCGAAGGCGGCUUACUGGUCCGGUACUGACGCUGAGGCGCGAAAGCUAGGGGAGCAAACGGG